AUGAAUGGAAGUUUAACCCCUAAGGAAGCACUUUACGAGGCUUCUCGUAAUUUGAUUGAUUUAUUUCUUCCUUUUCUACACGCGGAGGAAGAGGGCGCUAGUUUCGAAGAAAAUAAAAACAGGUUUACUCCACCCCUUUUUACUUUUCAAAAAAGAUUAACUAAUCUAAAGAAAAAUAAAAAAGGAAUUCCAUUGAAUUGUAUUUUUAUUGAUCAAUUAGAAUUGACUUCUAGAACGUAUAAUUGUCUAAAAAGGGCCAAUAUACAUACACUAUUGGACCUUUUGAGUAAGAUUGAAGAAGAUCUUCUGAGAAUUGACAAUUUUCGUAUGGAAGAUAGAAAACAUAUAUGGGACACUCUUGAGAAGCAUCUCCCAAUUGAUUUACUUAAGAAUAAGCUCUCGUUUUAA
rnacentral:rRNA from 1 species